CGCAAAGAACGAAUAAGAAGAUCGCUUACAAAAGAUACCUAACUCUGUAUGGGCAGCUCCUUAACGAAAAGGACAAAAAUACAACCUGGAAAUAGGACAGGGGUUUAUAAAAUACCAGUAAAGAACAACAGCACUGAAGAAGAGGAGGUCUAUAUAGGUGUAAUUAACAGAGUCCUUAGCAAAAGGCUUAAUGAACAUAAGAAAGACUUGGAGAAAGGGAAAACCAGCACAGCCUUAGCCCUAGCAGCUUACAAGAAGGAUAUAACAGUGAACUGGCAGGCAGCAACAAUAAUUAGAUCCUACAAGAAAGAAAGGCACUCCUUCCUCGCAGAAG
rnacentral:lncRNA from 1 species